rnacentral:pre_miRNA from 1 species
AAUAAACUAAUUUUUCACUUUUUACCUAUAAUUUUUGACUCUUCGUUUUAUUUAUUUUUUUUUGCGAUUGAUAUUUUUGUUUUUAUUAGAUGAUAAAUCAUGAAUAGUAUUUUACAUGUGACUACUUUUUAAAAAAAUUUUCAAAUAAGACGGAUGGUCAAACGUUGGACACGAAAACCGAAG